rnacentral:rRNA from 1 species
GAUGAAUGCUGGCGGCGUGCCUAAUACAUGCAAGUCGAGCGAACGGACGAGAAGCUUGCUUCUCUGAUGUUAGCGGCGGACGGGUGAGUAACACGUGGAUAACCUACCUAUAAGACUGGGAUAACUUCGGGAAACCGGAGCUAAUACCGGAUAAUAUUUUGAACCGCAUGGUUCAAAAGUGAAAGACGGUCUUGCUGUCGCUUAUAGAUGGAUCCGCGCUGCAUUAGCUAGUUGGUAAGGUAACGGCUUACCAAGGCAACGAUGCAUAGCCGACCUGAGAGGGUGAUCGGCCACCCUGGAACUGAGACACGGUCCAGACUCCUACGGGAGGCAGCAGUAGGGAAUCUUCCGCAAUGGGCGAAAGCCUGACGGAGCAACGCCGCGUGAGUGAUGAAGGUCUUCGGAUCGUAAAACUCUGUUAUUAGGGAAGAACAUAUGUGUAAGUAACUGUGCACAUCGUGACGGUACCUAAUCAGAAAGCCACGGCUAACUACGUG